rnacentral:rRNA from 1 species
AUGAACGCUGGCGGCGUGCCUAACCAAUGCAAGUCGAACGGACUGACAAGAAGUAGAAGCCUUGCGGGGGUGGAAGAUGAGAAAUCGUUGGAAGCCUCUCAAGGGGACGAAGCUUGGAGUUGGUCAGUGGCGGACGGGUGAGUAACACGUAGGAAUCUACCCCUGGGUGGGGAAUAACAGUUCGAAAGGGCUGCUAAUUCCGCAUGAGAUCCGCGAGGAUGAAAAGGGAGGGAACUCUCGCCUGGGGAGGAGCCUGCGGCCGAUUAGCUAGUUGGUGGGGUAAAGGCCUACCAAGGCGAAGAUCGGUAGCUGGUCUGAGAGGACGAUCAGCCACACUGGAACUGACACACGGUCCAGACUCCUACGGGAGGCAGCAGGGAGGAAUAUUGCACAAUGGGGGAAACCCAGAUGCAAGCAACGCCGCGUGAGUGAAGAAGGCCUUCGGGUCGUAAAGCUCUUUUCUGAGGGAUGAGGAAGGACAGUACCUUGGGAAUAAGUCUCGGCUAACUACGUGCCAGCAGCUGC